GUUGAAGAAAACAGUAAGUGCUCCCAAAUUCAAUCCUUGACAUCACAUGUGCCAGAGCAGUGGCCUGGGUAGAUUUUUCUCUCUCACACCUAACAGCACAGGGCAACUGCUGUCAAGGAGGUUAAGCCUUGGCCGGAGAUGGAGAGAACCAUAAGUGCUCUCAAGGUAGAUCUAGGAUAGUACAUGUACCAGAGAGAUGAUCUGGGUAGGUCUCUCUCCAUCCUAGGUGAGGGAAAUAAUAAGUGUUUGAAGAUGAGUGGCAGCUAUUAAAGAAUUUGAAUCUCAUGCAUGUUUUUCAAAUAUUCCCUUCCUAAUGUCACUAGUGACACACUGCUAUUCCCACAAUUAAAUGAACUGAUUCUGGUGCAACAUUAGAACAAGUCUGCAUGUUGACUGGGAUGAGUCUCCUGUGUACCCGGGCCUGUGACCACAUGAGCAGGCUGGGGACAGGGAUGCCAUGGGCAUUGGGGCACAUGUCAGUGGGGCCAGUGACAUCUGCAGGAGCAUCACGGAGGAUGGCAGCCAGUGGAGGACAUACCAGAACCAGAGACCAGUUUGCCACAGAGACCAAGACAGAGAAGUGGACUUCUGACUCUCCUACAGUGUGAAAGGCGAAUAGUAAGGUACCAGUAGCAGGCAUGGGAGAAGCAUCCACACAGCUGUGGUGUCACCAGCUUUCAGAUACCCUUGAGCACAGGCAGAGCAAUAGGAAGAUUGGACAAUUCCAACAGGGAGGUGACUCUCUUUCUCUUACAUAUCAUGGAAUAAGGCAAUUGCUGCCCAGGAGGUUAAGACUUGGCUUAGGCUGGAGAGAAAAAAGUAAGUGCUCCCACGUUCAAUCCCUGACAUUACAGGUGCUAGGGUGAUGAUCUGUAGAUGUCUUUUUCCUUCACAUGUUAGAGAAAUAUUUCUUUGAAGAUGGAUGACAGUUAUUAAAGAAUUCAAAUCUCA